rnacentral:rRNA from 1 species
CACGUAGUUAGCCGGCGCUUCUUUACCCACUACCCUCACCACAACCCACGUCGCGGCUUGACCAUGAGCGAAAGAGGUUUCCAACCCGAAGGCCUCCAUCCCUCACGCGGCGUCGCUGCAUCAGGCUUUCGCCCAUUGUGCAAUAUUCCCCACUGCUGCCUCCCGUAGGAGUCUGGGCCGUAUCUCAGUCCCAAUGUGACCGGUCACCCUCUCAGGCCGGCUACCCGUCAAAGCCUUGGUAGGCCAUCACCCCACCAACAAGCUGAUAGGCCGCGAGCCCAUCCCCCACCAGAACAAACCUUUCCACCAACCCCCAUGCGAAGAUCAGUGAAUAUCCAGUAUUAGCACCCGUUUCCGGGCGUUAUCCCAAAGAAGAGGGCAGGUUACUCACGUGUUACUCACCCGUUCGCCACUCAUCCACCAACAAAAGCUGAGCUUCAGCGUUCGACUUGCAUGUGUUAAGCACGCCGCCAGCGUUCGUCCUGUACGCCAGGAUCGAAACUCU